GACGAACGCUGGCGGCAUGCUUAACACAUGCAAGUCGAACGGAAAGGCCCUGCUUUUGUGGGGUGCUCGAGUGGCGAACGGGUGAGUAACACGUGAGUAACCUGCCCUUGACUUUGGGAUAACUUCAGGAAACUGGGGCUAAUACCGGAUAGGAGCUCCUGCUGCAUGGUGGGGGUUGGAAAGUUUCGGCGGUUGGGGAUGGACUCGCGGCUUAUCAGCUUGUUGGUGGGGUAGUGGCUUACCAAGGCUUUGACGGGUAGCCGGCCUGAGAGGGUGACCGGCCACAUUGGGACUGAGAUACGGCCCAGACUCCUACGGGAGGCAGCAGUGGGGAAUAUUGCACAAUGGGCGGAAGCCUGAUGCAGCAACGCCGCGUGCGGGAUGACGGCCUUCGGGUUGUAAACCGCUUUCGCCUGUGACGAAGCGUGAGUGACGGUAAUGGGUAAAGAAGCACCGGCUAACUACGUGCCAGCAGCCGCGGUGAUACGUAGGGUGCGAGCGUUGUCCGGAUUUAUUGGGCGUAAAGGGCUCGUAGGUGGUUGAUCGCGUCGGAAGUGUAAUCUUGGGGCUUAACCCUGAGCGUGCUUUCGAUACGGGUUGACUUGAGGAAGGUAGGGGAGAAUGGAGUUCCUGGUGGAGCGGUGGAAUGCGCAGAUAUCAGGAGGAACACCAGUGGCGAAGGCGGUUCUCUGGGCCUUUCCUGACGCUGAGGAGCGAAAGCGUGGGGAGCGAACAGGCUUAGAUACCCUGGUAGUCCACGCUGUAAACGGUGGGUACUAGGUGUGGGGUCCAUUCCACGGGUUCCGUGCCGUAGCUAACGCUUUAAGUACCCCGCCUGGGGAGUACGGCCGCAAGGCUAAAACUCAAAGGAAUUGACGGGGCCCCGCACAAGCGGCGGAGCAUGCGGAUUAAUUCGAUGCAACGCGUAGAACCUUACCUGGGUUUGACAUGGAUCGGGAGUGCUCAGAGAUGGGUGUGCCUCUUUUGGGGUCGGUUCACAGGUGGUGCAUGGCUGUCGUCAGCUCGUGUCGUGAGAUGUUGGGUUAAGUCCCGCAACGAGCGCAACCCUUGUUCACUGUUGCCAGCACGUUAUGGUGGGGACUCAGUGGAGACCGCCGGGGUCAACUCGGAGGAAGGUGGGGAUGACGUCAAGUCAUCAUGCCCCUUAUGUCCAGGGCUUCACGCAUGCUACAAUGGCUGGUACAGAGAGUGGCGAGCCUGUGAGGGUGAGCGAAUCUCGGAAAGCCGGUCUCAGUUCGGAUUGGGGUCUGCAACUCGACCUCAUGAAGUCGGAGUCGCUAGUAAUCGCAGAUCAGCAACGCUGCGGUGAAUACGUUCCCGGG
rnacentral:rRNA from 1 species